UACGGGGGGGGUAAGCGUUGUUCGGAAUUACUGGGCGUAAAGGGCUCGUAGGUGGCCAACUAAGUCAGACGUGAAAUCCCCAGGCUCAACUUAGGAACUGCGUCUGAUACUGGAUGGCUUGAAUUCGGGAGAGGGAUGCAGAAUUCCAGGUGUAGCGGUGAAAUGCGUAGAUAUCUGGAGGAAUACCGGUGGCGAAGGCGGCAUCCUGGACCGAUAUUGACACUGAGGAGCGAAAGCCAGGGGAGCAAACGGG
rnacentral:rRNA from 1 species